GAUGAACGCUGGCGGCGUGCCUAAUACAUGCAAGUCGAGCGAAUGGAUUAAGAGCUUGCUCUUAUGAAGUUAGCGGCGGACGGGUGAGUAACACGUGGGUAACCUGCCCAUAAGACUGGGAUAACUCCGGGAAACCGGGGCUAAUACCGGAUAACAUUUUGAACCGCAUGGUUCGAAAUUGAAAGGCGGCUUCGGCUGUCACUUAUGGAUGGACCCGCGUCGCAUUAGAUAGUUGGUUAGGUAACGGCUCACCAAGGCAACGAUGCGUAGCCGACCUGAGAGGGUGAUCGGCCACACUGGGACUGGGACACGGCCCAGACUCCUACGGGAGGCAGCAGUAGGGAAUCUUCCGCAAUGGACGAAAGUCUGACGGAGCAACGCCGCGUGAGUGAUGAAGGCUUUCGGGUCGUAAAACUCUGUUGUUAGGGAAGAACAAGUGCUAGUUGAAUAAGCUGGCACCUUGACGGUACCUAACCAGAAAGCCACGGCUAACUACGUGCCAGCAGCCGCAGUAA
rnacentral:rRNA from 1 species